UAGCAGGAACAAACGACAUCAGCGAAGGUGU
rnacentral:piRNA from 1 species